rnacentral:rRNA from 1 species
UAGUCCACGCCGUAAACGAUGUCAACUAGCCAUUGGGAGCAUAUAAGCUCUGAGUGGCGCAGCUAACGCGAUAAGUUGACCGCCUGGGGAGUACGCCAGCAACGGUAAAACUCAAAGGAAUUGACGGGGGCCCGCACAAGCGGUGGAUUAUGUGGUUUAAUUCGAAGCAACGCGCAGAACCUUACCUAGGCUUGAAAUCCCUCGAAUCCCGAGUAAUUUUGGGAGUGCCCGCAAGGGAAUGAGGUGACAGGUGCUGCAUGGCUGUCGUCAGCUCGUGUUGUGAAAUGUUGGGUUAAGUCUCGCAACGAGCGCAACCCCUAUCUUUAGUUGCCAGCAUUAAGUUGGGCACUCUAGAGAGACUGCCCGGGUUAACCGGGAGGAAGGUGGGGAGUGACGUCAAGUCCUCAUGGCCCUUAUGCCUAGGGCUACACACGUAAUACAAUGGUGCAUACAGAGGGAAGCGAUCGGGUGACCGUUAGCAAAUCUCAAAAAGUGCAUCUCAGUCCGG